UAUUUCAGUAUUUGCAUGUAAGUUUCCUGAUCUAAAUACAUACAAGAGCUGUGAUCUUCUCCCGUCCAGUUGGAUCUCUGUAGCCUGGUAUCCCAUAUACCGGAUACCAACAGGACCUACGCUACAAGAUCUAGAUGCUUGCUUUUUAACAUUCCAUUCACUGUCAACAACACCUGACGGUGAGUGCUCGUGUUUCUUCUUGGAUAAGACAAGCCGACGACCUGCGGCAAGAAACAG